rnacentral:rRNA from 1 species
AGUGAACGCUGGCGGUAGGCCUAACACAUGCAAGUCGAACGAGUGGCGGACGGGUGAGGAAUACCUCGGAAUCUACUCUGUCGAGGGGGAUAACGAAGGGAAACUUACGCUAAUACCGCAUACGAUCGGAUGAGCCGAUGUCGGAUUAGCUAGUUGGGGGGGUACAGGCCCACCAAGGCGACGAUCCGUAGCUGGUCUGAGAGGAUGAUCAGCCACACUGGAACUGAGACACGGUCCAGACUCCUACGGGAGGCAGCAGUGGGGAAUAUUGGACAAUGGGCGCAAGCCUGAUCCAGCCAUACCGCGUGUGUGAAGAAGGCCUUCGGGUUGUAAAGCCCUUUUGUUGGGAAAGCGUUACCCAAAGAAUAAGCACCGGCUAACUUCGUGCCAGCAGCCGCGGUAAUUC